GUCUGCGGCCUAUCAGGUAGUAGUGGGUGUAGCGUACCUACUAGCCUACGACGGGUACGGGUUGUGAGAGCAAGAGCCCGGAGAUGGAUUCUGAGACACGAAUCCAGGCCCUACGGGGUGCAGCAGGCGCGAAAACUUUACAAUGCCGGCAACGGCGAUAAGGGGACCUCGAGUGCCAGGUUACAAAUCUGGCUGUCGUGAUGCCUAAAAAGCAUUGCAUAGCAAGGGCCGGGCAAGACCGGUGCCAGCCGCCGCGGUAACACCGGCGGCUCGAGUGGUAACCGUUAUUAUUGGGUCUAAAGGGUCUGUAGCCGGCCGGAUAAGUCUCUUGGGAAAUCUGGCAGCUCAACUGUCAGGCUUUCAGGAGAUACUGUCUGGCUCGAGGCCGGGAGAGGUGAGAGGUACUUCAGGGGUAGGGGUGAAAUCUUGUAAUCCUUGAAGGACCACCAGUGGCGAAGGCGUCUCACCAGAACGGACCUGACGGCAAGGGACGAAAGCUAGGGGCACGAACCGGAUUAGAUACCCGGGUAGUCCUAGCCGUAAACGAUACUCGCUAGGUGUCGGCCACGGUGCGACCGUUGUCGGUGCCGUAGGGAAGCCGUGAAGCGAGC
rnacentral:rRNA from 1 species